CUUUUUCUUACAAAUGUUAAAUACACUCUGUUUUUAUCAUCUUAGUUCUGUUCGCCGACUUGUGUUCCGUCCUCACACUUGUGUUGUCACUCAAAGUCUCUCAAGCAAACAUAAAGGCAACAUCUUACAGAGGGUGGACAAGUGACUGUGUGUGUCCGAGAGUUUCCCCAUUGAAGCGCUUGGCCACUGGCCAGCCUUUUGAAGUUGUUAACACGGCUGUGUAUAUGCAAUAUGUGUAUUUUUGUUUAUGAAGGAUGUAUAGAUGUAUAGGGUGUGAAUGUCUCAUGCAUAAAUCCAUAAUAGAUGUAUGAAUGUGCGGCAUGAAUGUGUCUCAUAUGCAUAAUAGAUGAAUGAUAGGGUGUGACUGUCUCA